CAGCCGCCGCGGGAAUACGAAGGGUGCAAGCGUUAAUCGGAAUUACUGGGCGUAAAGCGUGCGUAGGCGGUGAGUUAAGUCUGCUGUGAAAUCCCCGGGCUCAACCUGGGAAUGGCAGUGGAUACUGGCUCGCUAGAGUGUGUCAGAGGAUGGUGGAACUCCCGGUGUAGCGGUGAAAUGCGUAGAGAUCGGGAGGAACAUCAGUGGCGAAGGCGGCCAUCUGGGACAACACUGACGCUGAGGCACGAAAGCGUGGGGAGCAAACAGGAUUAGAUACCCCCGUAGUCCCUGUCUCUUAUAC
rnacentral:rRNA from 1 species